GAGUUUGAUCCUGGCUCAGGAUGAACGCUAGCGGCAGGCUUAACACAUGCAAGUCGAGGGGUAUUGGUUUUCGGACCAAGAGACCGGCGCACGGGUGCGUAACGCGUAUGCAAUCUACCUUUCACAGAGGGAUAGCCCAGAGAAAUUUGGAUUAAUACCUCAUAGUAUAAUGAGUUGGCAUCAACACAUUAUUAAAGUCACAACGGUGAAAGAUGAGCAUGCGUCCCAUUAGCUAGUUGGUAUGGUAACGGCAUACCAAGGCUACGAUGGGUAGGGGUCCUGAGAGGGAGAUCCCCCACACUGGUACUGAGACACGGACCAGACUCCUACGGGAGGCAGCAGUGAGGAAUAUUGGACAAUGGGCGCAAGCCUGAUCCAGCCAUGCCGCGUGCAGGAUGACGGUCCUAUGGAUUGUAAACUGCUUUUGCACAGGAAGAAACAUCCCGACGUGUCGGGACUUGACGGUACUGUGAGAAUAAGGAUCGGCUAACUCCGUGCCAGCAGCCGCGGUAAUACGGAGGAUCCAAGCGUUAUCCGGAAUCAUUGGGUUUAAAGGGUCCGUAGGCGGUCUUAUAAGUCAGUGGUGAAAUCUCCCCGCUCAACGGGG
rnacentral:rRNA from 1 species